GCAGCCUGAACAUGAUGAAAGCUAAUGUUGGUAGGGACAUCUGAGAGAUCAUGAUGAUUACCAACGUCUCUGAGCAGGCCUGC